rnacentral:rRNA from 1 species
GACGAACGCUGGCGGCGUGCUAAACACAUGCAAGUCGAACGGAAAGGCCCUGCUUUUGUGGGGUGCUCGAGUGGCGAACGGGUGAGUAACACGUGAGUAACCUGCCCUUGACUUUGGGAUAACUUCAGGAAACUGGGGCUAAUACCGGAUAGGAGCUCCUGCUGCAUGGUGGGGGUUGGAAAGUUUCGGCGGUUGGGGAUGGACUCGCGGCUUAUCAGCUUGUUGGUGGGGUAGUGGCUUACCAAGGCUUUGACGGGUAGCCGGCCUGAGAGGGUGACCGGCCACAUUGGGACUGAGAUACGGCCCAGACUCCUACGGGAGGCAGCAGUGGGGAAUAUUGCACAAUGGGCGGAAGCCUGAUGCAGCAACGCCGCGUGCGGGAUGACGGCCUUCGGGUUGUAAACCGCUUUCGCCUGUGACGAAGCGUGAGUGACGGUAAUGGGUAAAGAAGCACCGGCUAACUACGU